GCGCCGCCGGUCUUGCCCGGCGUCUCCCUGACCUGCCUCGGCGGCCCCCGUCCCCGCCCCGGCGCUCCCUGGGCUCCCGCAGCCUCGCCCUAGGUUUCCUCCACACGACCUCCUCACGGAUUCCUUAUGGAUCGCAGCUCCAAGAGGAGGCAGGUGAAGCCUUUGGCAGCUUCUCUCCUAGAAGCUCUCGAUUAUGAUAGCUCAGAUGACAGUGAUUUUAAAGUUGGUGAUGCCUCAGAUUCUGAGGGGAGUGGUAAUGGAAGUGAAGAUCCUUCAAAGGACAGUGGAGAAGGUUCCUGUAGUGAUUCUGAAGAAAAUAUUUUAGAGGAAGAACUGAAUGAAGAUACUAAAGUAAAAGAAGAACAACUUAAAAAUUGUGCAGUUGAAGAAAUACUGUCAUCAGAAAAACAGUUAAUCAAAAUGGAAAAGAAAGAGGAUGAAGAAACUGGAGAAAAACCUAGAAAGAAAAAGGAAAAAGAGAAAGAAAAAGAAAAGGAGAAAGAAAAGGAAAAAGAAAAAGAGAAAGAAAAGGAAAGAGAGAAGGAGAAAGAAAAACCAACAGUAUCUGAUAGUGUGGCUGCUCCUGCUGCUGCCACCACCCCAGCCACAAGUCCUCCUGCUGUCAACACCUCCCCUUCUGCCCCCACUCCGACAACCACUACAGAGGAACAAGUCAAUGAGCCAAAAAAGUGGAACCUUCGUCGGAACCGGCCACUGUUGGAUUUUGUAUCCAUGGAAGAGCUGAAUGACAUGGAUGACUAUGACAGUGAAGAUGAUAAUGACUGGCGACCUACUGUAGUGAAGAGAAAAGGGAGAUCUGCAUCUCAGAAAGAGGGAAGUGAUGGAGACAUUGAGGAUGAUGAAGAUGAGGGAAGUGGGAGUGAUGAGGAUGAGAAUGAUGAAGGCAAUGAUGAAGAUCAUAGCAGCCCUGCUAGUGAAGGGGGUUGCAAGAAGAAGAAGAGUAAAGUUCUUAGCAGAAACAGUGCUGAUGAUGAGGAACUGACCAAUGAUAGCCUGACACUAUCCCAAAGCAAGAGUAAUGAGGACUCGCUGAUUCUUGAGAAGAGUCAAAACUGGAGUUCACAAAAAAUGGACCAUAUUCUGAUUUGCUGUGUUUGUCUUGGAGACAAUAGUGAGGAUGCUGAUGAAAUAAUUCAGUGUGACAAUUGUGGCAUUACAGUCCAUGAAGGUUGUUAUGGAGUUGAUGGAGAGAGUGACUCCAUUAUGAGUUCAGCUUCUGAGAACUCCACUGAACCUUGGUUUUGUGAUGCCUGUAAAUGUGGUGUUUCUCCUAGCUGUGAACUAUGUCCUAAUCAGGAUGGGAUUUUCAAGGAGACAGAUGCUGGAAGAUGGGUUCAUAUUGUUUGUGCCCUCUAUGUUCCUGGAGUAGCCUUUGGAGAUAUUGACAAAUUACGACCAGUAACACUGACAGAAAUGAACUAUUCCAAGUAUGGUGCCAAGGAGUGUAGCUUUUGUGAAGACCCUCGCUUUGCUAGAACUGGAGUUUGCAUCAGCUGUGAUGCAGGGAUGUGCAGAGCCUAUUUCCAUGUGACCUGUGCCCAGAAGGAAGGUCUACUUUCAGAGGCAGCAGCAGAAGAGGAUAUAGCGGAUCCAUUUUUUGCUUAUUGCAAGCAACAUGCAGAUAGGUUAGACAGAAAGUGGAAGAGAAAGAACUACUUGGCUUUACAAUCCUAUUGUAAAAUGUCCUUGCAAGAGAGAGAGAAACAGUUAUCACCAGAAGCACAGGCAAGGAUCAAUGCCCGGCUACAACAGUAUCGUGCCAAGGCAGAACUGGCUCGAUCCACCAGACCCCAGGCCUGGGUUCCCAGGGAAAAACUGCCCAGACCCCUCACCAGCAGUGCUUCAGCCAUUCGUAAACUGAUGCGGAAAGCUGAGCUAAUGGGGAUCAGUACGGAUAUCUUUCCAGUGGACAAUUCAGAUACUAGUUCUAGUGUGGAUGGAAGGAGAAAACAUAAGCAACCAGCUCUUACUGCUGAUUUUGUGAAUUAUUAUUUUGAGAGAAAUAUGCGCAUGAUUCAAAUUCAGGAAAAUAUGGCUGAACAAAAGAAUAUAAAGGAUAAAUUAGAGAAUGAACAAGAAAAGCUUCAUGUGGAAUACAAUAAGCUAUGUGAAUCCUUAGAAGAACUACAAAACCUGAAUGGAAAACUUCGCAGUGAAGGACAAGGAAUAUGGGCCUUACUAGGCAGAAUCACAGGGCAGAAGUUGAACAUACCGGCAAUUUUGCGAGCACCCAAGGAAAGAAAACCCAGUAAAAAAGAAGGAGGCACACAAAAGACAUCUACUCUUCCUGCAGUACUGUAUAGUUGUGGAAUCUGUAAGAAGAACCAUGAUCAGCAUCUCCUUUUAUUGUGUGAUACCUGUAAACUGCAUUACCAUCUUGGGUGUCUGGAUCCCCCUCUCACAAGGAUGCCACGGAAGACAAAAAACAGUUAUUGGCAGUGCUCAGAAUGUGACCAGGCCGGGAGCAGUGACAUGGAAGCAGACAUGGCCAUGGAAACCUUACCAGAUGGGACCAAACGAUCAAGGAGGCAGAUUAAGGAACCAGUGAAAUUUGUUCCACAGGACGUGCCACCAGAGCCCAAGAAGAUUCCAAUGAGAAACACGAGAACCAGAGGACGAAAACGAAGCUUCAUUCCUGAGGAGGAAAAACAUGAGGAAAGAGUUCCCAGAGAAAGAAGACAAAGACAAUCUGUAUUACAAAAGAAGCCCAAGGCUGAAGAUUUAAGAACUGAAUGUGCAACUUGCAAGGGAACUGGGGACAAUGAAAAUCUUGUCAGCAGGAUGAGAUUGUCUGAAACGAAGAAUAGGUGUGAUGAGUGCAGACUCUGCUACCAUUUUGGCUGUUUGGAUCCUCCUUUGAAAAAGUCUCCUAAACAAACAGGUUAUGGAUGGAUAUGUCAAGAGUGUGAUUCUUCAUCUUCUAAGGUCAGAAGACCAAAGGAAAGAAGGAAGGCCAUCUCCAUUUUCCAUACUAUAGGAUAGACGUCCAGGUUUAUCCCUGACUUUCAAGACCAUCUAUAAUCUGGCCCCAAGCUAAUAUUCCAGGAAGAUGAAAAUGAAGCUGAAAGAAAAAAUAUGUCUCAGGAGCUCAGCAUGGAACAGAAAAAUCCAAAGAAAUGAGGGAUUUCCUGUAGUGUUUUGAAAUAUUUGCAACUUAUGUAGUAGCAGAUAAAAUUUCUAAUGUAAAAUGUUAAACUGUAAAAUCUAAUUUGCAAAAUAUUCUCAAUAAAGUUGUUGAAAAUGAA